UCAACUAUCAAAUCUUUCAUUACUCGGGGUCGGAAACGUGCUCCUAUGGUUGAUCUCACUGAUAUAAUACCAGAUAUCAUGUCACUCCCCAAUGUUACAGUGCGUUAUGUGCAUUCGAAUGUGAAUCAGAUUUUAUCUGGUCAUUGGUCAGUCUGUCACGACUAUUUAUUCGAAAUAGGAAAAGUAGACAGCCCUUUGUGUACCUUGUGUACUGAUGAAGAUAAUGAAGUUGUUGAUGAUAUUGCCCAUAGAUUAUUCGAUUGCCAGAAAUAUGUGAGUAUUCGCAAUCAAUGCUUCGGGUACUCUCGUAUUGUGGCGGAUAAAGACGACUUUGUGCGUAAAAACACUACUAAUGUCGCACGGUUCGUUGCUUUAGCGAGAGGGCUUUAGCUUUAUAGCAUUAUCAUUGUCCUCUCCCUUCUCCAUUCCGUCGAAUGGUUUACGGACCGUAAAAAAAAAGUAAGACUCGGCUAAGCAAUUGAAUAGGCAUUGGAAGCUGGCUCAUGACCCGUCGGGUAACUCCUCAGGGAUAAGGGCCAGAGAGAGAGAGAGAGCUCCUCUUUCUUUGUGGUUAGCCCAAGUUAGGCUGCCUGACUGUUUCCGUGCUUUUAUGCAUCCGGGGCAUAGACUUAGGCAUAUCAAACAGUGUCAUGAGGAGCCUUCAAGAGUGUGCAUGGUUAACGACGAUAAUGUAGCUGAGUUAGUAAAUGAGGUCCCCCUCUUGCCCCUUCGAAGGAUUCCGCGGCUUCGAGAUAGGUUAGCGGCCCGCUAAUCUAUUUCGCUAAUAGCAGAGGAUUCUAUAAGUGUAGUAGGUGUGAGAGAUGAGAGUGCUGCGGACAUACUACUGCACCCGAUUGAAAAUGGGGAUGGGACUUGGUCAUGUCCCAUCUGUUCUCAACUCUGAGAAGGGCAUCACUAAUCAUGGUAAUCGUAUGCAUAGAGUGUCCUUGAUUACGUUUAGAGGCUUCGGAAUAUGUUUUUGGGAAUGUACGACCGCAAGUAACUUGCGGCAAGUUGCGUGGGUGGAUGAGGAGUUGUGAGGCCUUAGUCCUUUGCGGAUGAGAGGCCUCCGGCCUACACCGGUACGCAUCCGGUACGCCGUCUGCCGACCACAGGGAUAACUGGCUUGUGGCAGCCAAGUGUUCAUAGCAACGUUGAUUAUUGAUCCUUCGGUGUCAGCUCUUCCUAUCAUUGAGACGCAGAAGUCUCAAAGUGUCGGAUUGUUCACCCGCCAGUAGGGAACGUGAGCUGGGUUUAGACCGUCGUGAGACAGGUUAGUUUUACCCUACUGACGGAGACUCCGUCACGGAGUAGAUACUACGACAGUAGUCGAAGUUAGCACUUGGUUAAUACCGUUGUCUGAAAAAACAGUACGGCGAAGCUACCAUCUCCUGGAUGACGGCUGAAUGCCUCUGAGCCGGAAUCCAUGCUGGAUCAGCAGUGUUGUACACCAUGCUCAAUGCCAGAAGAAAAAAGCUAGGUCACAAUUUGUCAAUCUGUCAGUGACAAAGAUUCAAGCUACUAUACCUCUGGCUGCAUUGAUUUGUGGUCAGAGUGUAUAGCGAUCAUAGCAAUUGCAAGUUUUGGGCUCGAUAAAUCCUUUGAGGACGACUUAUCCGGAUAUUGUAAGUGUUGAGAGGAGGCUUAGUCUUACGAUCCACUGAGAUUCAUACCGUGUAGCGUCGAUUUGU
rnacentral:ncRNA from 1 species